AUUGAACGCUGGCGGCAGGCCUAACACAUGCAAGUCGAACGAGUGGCGGACGGGUGAGUAAUGUCUGGGAAACUGCCUGAUGGAGGGGGAUAACUACUGGAUACGGUAGCUAAUACCGCAUACCAUCAGAUGUGCCCAGAUGGGCUUAGCUUGUUGGUGGGGUAACGGCUCACCAAGGCUACGAUCCCUAGCUGGUCUGAGAGGAUGACCAGCCACACUGGAGCUGAGCGCCGGUCCAGAGUCCUACGGGAGGCAGCAGGGGGGAAUAUGGCACAAGGGGCGCAAGCCUGAUGCAGCCAUGCCGCGUGUAUGAAGAAGGCCUUCGGGUUGGAAAGUACUUUCAGCGGGGAGGCGUUACCCGCAGAAGAAGCACCGGCUAACUCCGUGGCAGCAGCCGCGGUAAUAC
rnacentral:rRNA from 1 species